AGAUUGAACGCUGGCGGCAUGCUUUACACAUGCAAGUCGAACGGUAACAGGCCGCAAGGUGCUGACGAGUGGCGAACGGGUGAGUAAUGUAUCGGAACGUGCCCAAUCGUGGGGGAUAACGCAGCGAAAGCUGUGCUAAUACCGCAUAAGAUCUACGGAUGAAAGCAGGGGAUCGCAAGACCUUGCGCGAAUGGAGCGGCCGAUGGCAGAUUAGGUAGUUGGUGAGGUAAAGGCUCACCAAGCCUUCGAUCUGUAGCUGGUCUGAGAGGACGACCAGCCACACUGGGACUGAGACACGGCCCAGACUCCGUACGGGGGCAGCAGGUGGGGAAUUUUGGACAAGUGGGCGAAAGCCGUGAUCCAGCCAGUGCCGCGUGCAGGAUGAACGGCCGUUCGGUUGUUAAACUGUCUUUUGCGAACGGUAACG
rnacentral:rRNA from 1 species